AUUGAACGCUGGCGGCAUGCCUUACACAUGCAAGUCGAACAGCAGCACGGGGGCAACCCUGGUGGCGAGUGGCGAACGGGUGAGUAACAUAUCGGAACGUACCCAGAAGUGGGGGAUAACGUAGCGAAAGUUACGCUAAUACCGCAUACGAUCUACGGAUGAAAGUGGGGGGACCUUCGGGCCUCAUGCUUUUGGAGCGGCCGAUAUCUGAUUAGCUAGUUGGUGAGGUAAAGGCUCACCAAGGCGACGAUCAGUAGCUGGUCUGAGAGGACGACCAGCACACUGGACUGAGAUACGGCCCAGACUCCUACGGGAGGCAGCAGUGGGGGAAUAUUGG
rnacentral:rRNA from 1 species